rnacentral:rRNA from 1 species
UACGUAGGGGGCGAGCGUUGUCCGGAUUUAUUGGGCGUAAAGAGCUCGUAGGCGGCUCAGUAAGUCAGGUGUGGAAACCUCCAGGCUCAACCUGGAGACGCCACCUGAUACUGCUGUGGCUAGAGUCCGGUAGGGGAGCGUGGAAUUCCUGGUGUAGCGGUGAAAUUCGUAGAUAUUCGGAAGAACACCAGUGGCGAAGGCGACUCACUGGACACAUAUUGACGCUGAGGUGCGAAAGCGUGGGGGAGCAAACAGG